CCCUUAGAAGUUCUGGGCUGCACGCGCGCGACACUGAUGCGCUCAAGGAGUUUACGACCUUGCCUGGAAAGGUUGGGUAAUCUUCUUAAAAAACAUCGUGAUGGAGCUAGAUUAUUGCAACUAUUAAUCUUCAACGAGGAAUUCCUAGUAAGCGCGAGUCAUCGGCUCGUGCUGAUUACGUCCCUGCCCUUUGUACACACCGCCCGUCGCUCCUACCGAUUGCGUGCUACUGAAUAAUUCGGACUGCAGCAACGUUCGGUUCCUGAAUGUCGCAGUGGAAAGUUUAGUGAACCUUAUCACUUAGAGAAAAAAAAAGUCGUAACA
rnacentral:rRNA from 1 species